CUGACACAGGGAGAAAGAAACAGAUUGAGAACGGGUUAGAGGAAUGAAAAUACAUCAAACAUAAAUAAAGCGAAAUCAAAGCAAAAGGAUAGAUUGAGAGAAAGGAGAAAGAAGAAGAGAGAAACUGUGUAAAAAGGGAGAAGGACAGGGAGAGAGAAAGAAGAUACAAAUAAAGUAGGGGGAGUUUGCAGUUGACUUGAGAGAGAGGGAAAGGGAGAAAGGGAGAGAGAGAGAGCGAGAGAGAGACCAGCCGCCGGCCCAUUUAGGAAAGAUGGCUACAGUCACUGCAAACGGAGUGCAGCAAGAGAAUGGAUUCAGCACCACGAACAGCGCCGGCAGGAUGAACGGACUCAUGAUCGGUCAGAACACCAUUCCAAUGAAGGACCACGACGCCAUCAAGCUGUUUAUCGGACAGAUUCCCAGAAACCUGGAGGAGAAAGAUCUGAAGCCCCUUUUUGAGGAAUUCGGAAAGAUAUACGAACUCACUGUGCUGAAAGACAGGUUUACUGGAAUGCAUAAAGGAUGUGCCUUUUUAACAUACUGCGCCAGAGAGUCAGCACUGAAGGCCCAGAGCGCCCUCCAUGAACAGAAGACUCUGCCAGGGAUGAACCGGCCCAUCCAGGUGAAGCCAGCCGACAGCGAAGGACGAGGAGAAGACAGGAAGCUGUUUGUGGGGAUGCUUGGGAAGCAGCAGAGCGAGGAGGACGUCCGGCGGCUCUUUGAGACCUUCGGCCAGAUCGAGGAGUGCACCGUCCUGAGAGGGCCUGAUGGGGCCAGUAAGGGCUGUGCCUUUGUCAAGUUCUCCAGCCACGCAGAAGCACAGGCGGCCAUCAACAGCCUGCACGGCGGACAGACCAUGCCAUGUGGGUAUCCCCAGGGGGCGUCCUCCAGCCUGGUGGUGAAGUUUGCCGACACGGACAAGGAGCGGACCCUGCGUAGGAUGCAUCAGAUGGCGGGCCAGCUCGGCAUCUUCAGCCCCAUGACCAUCCAGUUUGGGGCCUAUGGCGCCUACUCUCACGCUGUAAGUCUCGGCUCCACGGGGGAGGAGACGCAGAUGAUGCAACAGCAAGCAGCGCUAAUGGCGGCGACCCAGAACUCGUAUCUGAACCCCAUGGCAGCCAUCGCUGCGGCACAAAUGCAGCAAAUGGCAGCUUUCAAUGUCAACGGUCUGGUGGCUGCCCCAAUGACACCCUCCUCAGGCACCAGCACGCCGCCGGGUAUCAAUGCCACGGCCUUGCCCAGCCUAGCAGCGCCCAUGGGGGUCAACGGGUUCGCAUCCCUCCCGCCCCAGACCAACGGUCAGCCUACCAACGAGCCAAUCUACACCAAUGGGAUCCACCCCUACCCAGGUGAGACAGCCAAUGGGAUUCACCUCUACUCAGCACAGAGCCCUACAGUGACUGACCCUCUCCAGCAGGCUUACGCCGGUGUGCAGCACUACGCAGCAGCCUACCCUGCCGCAUACGCACCAAUCAGUCAAGCGUUCCCCCAGCAACCCACCAUCAUCCCCCAGCAACAGAGAGAAGGGCCGGAAGGCUGCAACCUGUUUAUUUACCAUCUGCCCCAGGAGUUUGGAGACGCAGAAUUAAUGCAAAUGUUCCUGCCUUUCGGCAACGUCAUCUCCGCCAAAGUCUUCGUGGACCGGGCGACCAAUCAAAGCAAGUGUUUUGGCUUUGUGAGCUUCGAUAACCCAUCCAGUGCCCAGGCGGCUAUCCAGGCCAUGAAUGGUUUUCAGAUAGGCAUGAAGCGGCUGAAGGUGCAGCUGAAGCGGCCAAAGGAUGCCAACCGACCUUACUGACCCCUCUGCCGUCCACAUCCAGACUGCCUGAGGAGAGGAGAAGAGCGGAGGAAUGACUUUGACGUAACACAUUGAUGAGGAACAAGUGGAGAAUGUCCUGAACAAUGAUGAGGACAGGCUCGUCAUUAUGACAUCCUCAGUGUGUCUCUAACAACAGCCGUGUGUGUGUGUGUGUGUGUGUGUGUGUGUGUGUGUGUGUGUGUGUGUGUGUGUGUGUGUGUGUGUGUGUGUGUGUGUGUGUGUGUGUGUGUGUGUGUGUGUGUGUGUGUGGAUGGGGGUAAGUCUGCCUGGGGUUGGUCUCCUGCCGUUCUAACUGCUCAGUAUGUGUGUAUUCUUCUCAUUGUUAGAGCAACACAUUGUCUGUAAGUGUGUAGUGUUCACUGUUCAUCCCAUGCACUCUCCUGUCUGUUCCAGUCCAGGUUCUUCCUGUGUGAGGUUUUACAUUGUUACUUGAUUUGUUUUGGGGGUAAAUGAAUUGAAUGUGAGACCAAUUUCACUGAAAAUCACACAAAAUAUAAUACAGCAUUUUGAAGCCAGAAAUAUGCCCUUAGAUGUAGGUGUAGAUACUUUAUAAGAGGAUAAAUCAUCUAUAAAUUAUAUUUAUAGAUUGACUGAAACUUUUGUAUUACCAACGUAAUAACCUCAAACUUAUGAUUUAAAAAGACCAUUCUUCUCCACUCUUCUACUAACUCAGUAAUUCUGCCGACAAUUUCUGGGUCUUAAAGAAUUUAUAAUUGACUAAAGGUACUCAAUGUACAUACCAACAUCAUAGCAUACAAUGCAUGGACAAAAUCCAAUUAUUUAGAGUGUGACUGUGUUAGUUUGAGAUGUAAAAUAUGCCAUUUGGCCUGGCCUUAUCUUUGUGAGUACAGUGCAGCACUCUAGUCUUUUACCCUAUAAAUGUUCUCUGACUGAAAAGCCUCUCAGAACUGCUUCAAAAAGAAAAAUAAAGGCCAUUAUUUUAGUUAUUUUUGAAGGUUCCAUUUUUAUCUCUAUAUUUCAAAUUGUAUUUGUUGAUUUGUUGACUUUUUCAUUUUGACAGUAAUAACCUCCCUUCAUUUGGUUUGUCAGCCAGAGACGUUGAGAGAGAGAGAGGCUGGAAUAAAUGGGAAAGUAAAGUCUACAUCAUAUUUACCACUUGAGAAAAAAAAUUGGAAUUCCACCACUUCUCUUCUUCUUUUGUUUUGCACCCAACCCAACCUGCCAACCUGCCAAUCAUAACAUGAGAUGGCCUCUCCAUGGUCGUUGUGUAGCCAACCAGUAGCCACCAGUCACGGGGACAUGUUCCCAGUUCCCACACCUGAUGAAGGGCCACAACACCUUAUUUCCACAAGUGCAGUAUAAAGUACAAAGACUUCUUGCUCUGCUACAUAUCAUGAAAGAAGGGUGGUCCCUUGAUUCUGCUGGAAGAAUAGCUGGAGAAGAUUGGGUGACUGAGGAGGAGAAAGAACCCGGAGAUUCUUGUUUGUUUUUUUAGCAAAUGCCUCUUUUUUUCCCUGUUUUGCUUUGGCGUCUGUGGAAGAGGAUUUUUUGCAGAGACCAACUUUUUGCUGCUGUUUUUUAGAGAAGAUGGAAAACCUUUAUAGACACAUUAUGCUCAAAGCAUGCAAACUGACACCGGUACAUAUACACACACACACACACACACACACACACACACACACACACACACACACACACACACACACACACACACACACACACACACACACACACACACACACACACACACACACACACACACACACACACACCAGCCUGCUGCCAUUUUGGUUUUCGUGCCUACACAGGUGAUGUGCUCUGUGACAGGGCGAGCUCUGAGGAAAGAAGAAGAGAAAUGGAGAAUCCAGGAGAAUUUACAUGCAUCAUUCCUUAGGAAAUAGGGACCAAAGGACUUAACGCUUUUUAAAAGAAUAUAAAUAUAUACAUAUAUAUAUAUAUAUAUAUAUAUUUAAAAAACUCUUACCUUGUAGCUGCAAGUAUUACAAUUUAACAGUAGUCAAAAUAAAUAAUUAAAUCAAUAUCCAGUGGCCUAAGUAAGAAUAAAAAGAUAAAGGAAAUAAUGUAUACAUUGAAAAAAAGACAAGGAAACGUAGUAAAGGGGCUGAUUAUUAUGUUCUGGUUGCUGUUUUGCCCCCAGUUAGUAGAUUAGAAAAUGUAGAAUACUAGAAAAGUAGAUUUGCUCUUUUUUGCUGUUGUUUUUUUUUUUUUAAGAAAAAAAUACUUGAACUUGUAAAGUAGGGGAGGGAUGAAAAAGAUAAAAUUAUUCAUUUUGUCUGUCCCGUCCCAGUGGGCUUUGGGGCAUUGGGGUCUCUCUCUUGGAUGUGACGGUCAGGCCGCUGGAUAUGUCCCUCUUCAUGGUGUGCAACUCACUCACAGCACUAUCUGACAGCUAUAAAGGAACUGUUUUUCAGAAGAGGGGGAAAAAGAAGAGAAAAGACAGAUGGACCUUCCUAGUGUCUGUGCUGGACAGGGUGCACAUAUGAGAGGCUUAUUUCCCACAAGCCUUUGUGUUCAAGCGACAAUCCACUGUAAAAACCAAGCAAAUCGGACAUGGUGUGUUCUUUUCUUUUGAGCUUUUUUAUUACACAGGGAGUGUGCUAUUAUAAAACGUAUUAAAGAAAUGCUUAAAGAAAAGCUUCUGCAAACGAGAUGGACUAAUGGACAAAAAUUAAGGCAAGCAGAGAAGAAAAUGAUUGAGUUGAUAGCUACUGAACCUGCCAAAAGAGUGGACUCAACAGUAUAACAAUGAAUUGGCUCUCAUGGUGUUUGAGUAAAAUAAAAAAAUAGACCCAUUAAAAAUAACCACUUUAUAGGCAAGAGGGAGAACGAGAGAGAGAGAGAGAGAGAGAGAGAGAGAGAGAGAGAGAGAGAGGCCAGAGAUAUUUAUGUCCGCUGAAGCCGUUCUGAAGCUCUGGUGAGAUUGAGAAACAUCGCCUCACCCCCACGGCUGCAGAACAGAUACAAGCAGAACUUGCUCUGAAAGACACACAAGAUUUAUGGAUGGCCAAACAGUGGAAGCUUUUAGAGCUCAUUUAGCUGUGUCGUAUAUAAUGUACAUGCCACUGUUAACAUGUCCCCUCCCUGACCUGCUUUUUUUUUCAAAUAUUAUAUAAUGAGCCUGUGGAAAAACCUACCUAUCCGUCUCAACCUAACCUAACACAGUCUGAAUUACAGCCAUACAACCGCCAUCAUUCAGCUCCUCCCUGCCAAUCCAUGCCUAGCAGAUCACAGCUCUGAACUCUUAACUUGCCAGGCUUUUAGUUAGUGUCUAUGAGCCGUUUAUUUUGUGGUGGAUGCAGCUGGCCCCGCUAUAUGAAAACCAGAUCAAUAUGUUUGCGUUGAGUCUCGAGGAAGGAUAAGAUUGCAAGUCAUUCACUGUCCACACUUCCUCAAGUUCUCUCAGUAGAACACCAGCUCUCCCCCAGCUCUCCCCCUCCCUCCCUCCCUCCCAACUCUCUGAGAGCUGACUGAAGGCAUACAGAGGGGGAGGCAGAGCUGGACAGGGAAGAGAAGGCGAGAGGAGAGUGGGAGAAGUCAACAGCCGAACCCUGAUCUCUGAGUCCUACUCCACACCAACAUGUCCAACCUUGUCUUUUCUUAUCCUUCAAAGUGAUGCUCCUUGGAAUUAUCCCCCGGGGGACCAAAUCCAUGCAAUCAAAAGCCACAACCCCCCCCCCCCCCCCCCCCUCAACACCACCACCUUGCCAAACACCAUGUAUCUGUGCUGCCUAGCUCUUUGGGAAUGGGAUUGAAGGGUUGAUAAGGAAUCACUUGGCAUGUAUUAGGUACCUGCUGCCUUCUGUCCAGUCUGUCUCUGUUUACCUCUGGGACUUGCUCUCCAAAGCAGAGCGGACGCAUUCCAAGUCACUGACUGAAAGCCCUGCCUGCCUGCAUCACACAAGACACAUCUACAGUACAAUGACUUUCGUUGUCUUUCUCCCAGCUGCUUAAAGACAAUACCAUGCCACUCUUUUCUGUGAGCGAAAAGAUCUUGGAUUUGUCUUGAUUUGUAUCCUUGCUUUCACCAUACCACACUACUGUAAUGAAUGUUAGCUUCUGACUUUGUGUUUGUGUUCCUCUGCUAUAAAUAGACACUGUUCUGUUCCAUCAUGCCUUCCAGAACCCCAACCUAGCUGUUCAUAGCCUGGUUCAACCAGACUGAACUCUGCACUCAAAAAUGGGGGGUUCAGUCUGGUUUUACCAGGCUAUGCUGUUCAGCUGUUUCCCUGGAACAAUGUUUCAGACCAACUUGCAGUUCAGUGUUUGGCUUCAGUCGCCUUCGAUGAUCUCUUCCUCCGUAUUAGACAUGCUAUUUCACCUUUCCCUCUAAUCACGUUGUAAUAGUGAGGCUCUAUACAUUAACACCAACCAAGUGAAAAGUCAUCUGCAUAAUCACCUGGACCAAAUUACAGUGGGGAUGGUCCCUUGAAUGCUCUGUGAUGACAGAAGGUAGAUUAGAGAGAAUUAUGUUUGUAGCGGCUCCCUGGCAAGGAUGCCGACAGCUGACCUGGCACCGAUAUCACCGCAGCCGUAUUUAUGAUGGAGAUGGGAUCCAGGAAGAUGGAUAAAACCCUCCAUAUCAUAGCUACUCUGGCUAUUAAUGUUGGAUAUUUGAUUGGCGUGGGUAUAGAUUAUGUUGAAAAUUAGGCAAAAUAGACUAGGUUUGAAAUAUUUCUCCAGGUAUAAAAGCUACUGAACAAUAGCAGGUUGAAAUGGGUAGCAGACAACCAACUAGUUCGUUGAAAAACCCUUAGUUCCUCCGUUGCAGCUGCCUGCCGGGUGGCCCAUGUUAUUGUACAUCAGCUUUCAGCACAUAAUUGUCUCAACAAUCGCCUCAGAAGCCGCCAUUGUCCACAAAACAACCUGCUCUAAACAUUUUGCAUUUGUCACGGCAGUAUUACAGUCGGGACACCUGCAAAGCACAGAAUAUUGUUCAGAACUGGAGGAACAAUAUUGGUGAAGCACAGUAGUUAUUUUGAAUCAAAAUGACGCCCGUUGAAAAAAACAGUGCCAGCUUUGGUCGUGUGUUGUCUCAGCUUGCCUUCAAAAACACAGUAAAAACACUCAGCCUUUAGUUGUUAUGAAGUCAGCAGAACAUGUAGGAACUAGGAAGCAACAAGAGUUAAUGUGAAGUAGGUCAAUAUCAAUGCAUGUUCUUCACAGCAGCCAUGUUGUGCUCCUUAUUUACGUAAUGCUGAAUUAAUCAAUAGGAAACCUAAUGUUCCGUGAGCGAUGAAAUCUCCUAUGCUUGUCUCUCUGCCGCUUCAAAAGCAACUCCUGCAAGACUAGUCCCAUUAGCCUCCCCACGAGCCCUCUGAUGGCUCCUACACCAGAUAUAUGCUGCACACCCCUACAGUCAACUUAGAGCAGGGUUAGGUUCAGCCUAGGUCCAAUCCCCUGCCCAGUCUUAUAUUCCCUGCUUGGCUAACGUGCUACGCUCGUAUAGCCUUUCUGCUGCACCAGGGAGCUGCAGAAACGUGCUUGGGAAGGCUAGAUUAGACCAUGUUAAAUCAGGGAGCUGUUAGAACCAGGGUCCUCUUAUUGCUCUUCCACACAGGGGAGGAAGGUUAUUAGUGUGACAUGCAGUGAAAACAGAAAUAGCUGUAGCGAAGCCAGGCUCUGGAACAAAGAAAAUGAGAAGUGGGUUUUAUUCCUUCUCUUACUGACUCCAGAAGUCUGCCAGCUCAGCCCAUCUCAGCCCAUCUCAGCCCAGCUCAGCCCAUCUCAGCCCAUCUCAGCCCAUCUCAGCCCAGCUCAGCCCAUCUCAGCCCAUCUCAGCCCAGCUCAGCCCAUCUCAGCCCAUCUUAGCGCAGCUCUGGCCCUGUCUGGCCUUUAGUCAAGAAUGUUAACUUAGGAGUGACUCGCCUUACGCAGGACUGAAAGCCACCCACUCAUGUUAAGAUGAGAAUAUUUAGAUUGACAUUAUAGGUUAUUGCUAUUGUUAGUUCGACUCACUUUAUGAGUCUGUUUGGAAAUACAGUAACAGUCAAAAGUUCGGAUACACCUUUCUUUAUUUUUACUAUAUGUGUUAAUUCAUAGUUUAUAUCUUCACUAUUAUUCUACAAUGUAGAAAAUAGUAAAAAUAAAGAAAAACCCUUGAAUGAGUAGGUGUGUCCAAACUUUUGACUGGUACUGUAUGUAAAAUAUAAUAUAACAAAAACAUAUUUAUGGUCAUGUGGUCACUGUAAUGCCUGACCUUCUCAUGUAACAUUAGCACCUGUGAGGCAGUUAUUCACAUUUCUUAACCUCUGGUUAUUCUGCCUCCUCUACUGGCUCUAGAUAUAAUGCCUUCCUAGUUUGCAUUCCAUAAAGUCUGUCCUCAUGAGGAGUUAGAAACCUCAGAGCUCCGAGGCUGACAGAGGGGAAGGAUAACCAGUCCUAAGAGCUGAAGAGGUUGACUAAGAGGCUAAGAGGCUAGAUAACCAAUCAUCUGAGCUCUGAAGCUGGCGGAUGGGUUGAAUAACCAAUCCUAGUGGGCGAAGAGAGAUCUGCCUAGCAUGUCUAGCAGACCCCAGCCCCUGGGUGUAGAGAACACUCACCCUAAAAUAGCAGUGAUUGUCAAGGAAAGGAAGUGAAAUGUAAUUGACUGAAAGUGGAGAGAUAAUUAAAGGAACCUGUUGGACAGGAGGGAGAAAUUAAUGGCUCUCAUUUAAUAGCUGCUUUGGGAGAAAAGGAGAGCUUUUCCGUCAUCUCGCUUAGCUAACGCAAAAAGGGAUUUUCGCUGUGGAAAUGGGAUUUUUGCUAAGAGGGGAAGUGAAGUGGGUUUUGGGGGGGCCUGGAUGCUAAACUGAAACUCCACAAAGUCACCUCAAUACUCAGGGCAUCAGGCACUAUGAUGUCAUGAUUAGUGGAAACUUUCAGAGCCUUGCCUUCCCAUGGGCCCUGCCUGCCUUGUCUGGCUGGGGAGGAAUAAGAGCUGCGUAUUCACCCAGAGGCACUGAGAGUAUGGUGGGAGCUGGAGGAGCAUGUUGGACCUCUGCCAGGGCAGCUGGAGGAGCCAGAGACACGAUCACACUGUCAGUCAGUCAGUCAGGGGGAGUGUUGUCUGUCAUUGAAACAUUAAUGCCUUGGAUCCAUCAGGUCAACGUGCAAUUUUAAAAGACACUAAAAGGAAGACCUUGAUCCUAUCAUAAACAACAUAAAGAGCAGUCAAUCACAGAAAAGUGUGGGAUCAUGUUUGACAACAAAGCUGGAGAUUCAAAUCAAAAAAUGGAGACAGAAUUUUUUAUUCCUUCAUGUAAAUAAUAUAACACAGAAACAAAUGAGUCAGGAAGUAAGAACUGUACAGUAGAGAGGUCUGUCUAUAGUAGUCGCCUGGCUGUGUGGACAUUGAUGUCACUAUAAAACGUAUCCACAGCAGUGCAGGAAAUCUUUGGAGAGGGUGGGACUUUUUAACACUUUGGCCUUUUUGGUUACUGAGUAAACAUGAAUGAAUAUGCACUAUACCCUCAGCUGAACACCACCCAACAUAACAGGGAGAGGAUAGCAGAGAUCUGAUUCUAGAUGAUUUAGUAGGGCUUCAAUUCCAGCCUGGAGCAAUCCAUUAAUUAGGUUUACACUGACACAUCAUGAUAUUUCUGACAGUUGAAAGAUUGCCUGUGCACUAGCUAAUUGGAUUAGUCCAAUUGGAGCUGAUUAGACGGAUAGAUGUGACCUCAAAUACGUGACGAGAAGGCCUGCCCCUCAGUCUGCUCCGUGCCGUGCAGAGGAGCAGGUGAUAGUGACAGCAGCCAUUAGUUCGCAAGUUGCUAGCUAGCUUGCCACCGGGGCGGCGUCCGCCAGUCACCGCUAUAAUCCACAGCUCCACGGGUAUGGGCGGAAGAGGGUGAGGGUUUGCCAGAUUGGAGCUGAAAACACAUUUCCAUAUGAUCCAAACACAGAACACAGGUGUAUGAUGAGAAAGAGAGAGGAUUGGGCCAGGUGAGCCGGAUGCACUGCUACUAGAAUGAAUGACUACCCUGCAGAUCUCCCUGCCUCUGUGGCCUGCCCCUGCCUCUGCUCUCUCCACGGCCAGAGUACACAGCUGCCUGCGAUACUCCUGUACAUAUUACAUAGCUUAUUUUUUAAUUCUGUUAAGGCUUCUUUAUAGACGACCGUACAAUAAAUCAUGUUGAAAAAAAAGAAAGAAAUAGUUAAUAUAUUUCACUGACUACGAGAAGGAAACUAUGAAAUAAUUUAUCAAAAACAGUAGAGAGAAAACAUUUUUAUUUCUUGUAUAUUGAAGCGCUGAUGUUAAAAUGGAUUUUAUAUUCAUGUUGGUAAAAUGGUUCUUUUUUUACAUUCUCUUAUGUUUUCUGUUUUGUUAUCUGCUGAAGCUGGGAUGGACCCAUUGUCUCAAGGUUUAUUCUGAUAUGCUUUGAAGAUACAUGUUGAAGGGACAUUUUGCUACACAAUCCCCAUAUGGAAUUACAUGUAAAUGGGCAAGUUUAAAGAUAUGUUGUUGACAGAAAGCUCUUACAUUCAGUACAGGAAUGAAGAAACUGGACUGAUAAAAGGUCAUGUGGAUUCAUAAAGAUGACAACAUUUGUUGUCAGAUUAGUUUUGAAAAAUAAGCUGUCAUUUAACAUGACCAUUGUCUUUCAGCCAUACAUUUCUCUUUUGUUUGAUUAUUUCUUUCAUCUUGAAUUCAUUUUAUGUCUUGAAAAAGAAUCAGUGACAUCUCUUUUAUUUUCAUCUUGUCUGCAUGCGGGAAUUUUCUCUCAGAGAUCAUUUCUGAAGAGCUAUUUCAACAUUACUGGUCCAUCUUGUAUAUAUAAUAACUGUGGUUGACUCCAACACCACUGAAGAAAAUGUGCCAAUAACAGAUUGAACGUUCCACUACACUGUUUUGGUCAAGUCAGGUCAACCCUGUGGCCUUGACACCAAACUGAUCAAAAGAGGGAAGUCUGCCUUAAAACACAUUCAUUCUCUCUGACGGUACUACCUUCAAAAACGUAGCACAUACAUUGUAUUCUGGGGAUGCCAAUGCUAGUUCUUUUCCAUUGUUCAUAAACAUGCUCUGGUUUUUCCUUGCAGAGAUGAGAUUCUGUUUAAUUGAAAUGCAGCUGUCAGUUGUAAAGAUUGCCUUGUGUCAGUUUUGCCUCAAUCCCACUUCUGACACCAAUAAGGACGGGAUCAUACAGUAUAGUUACAUUUCCAUCGGUUACAUGGACCAAAUUUUAUCACAUGAAACCAAUAGAGCAGAGUUUCCCUAACAAAACAUGAAAUGAGAGCCUUUGUGCAACCAUUCAGAUAUAAAGGAAAGUGAAAAUCAUCCACUGUACUUUGCUUCAUGAGACAUUACAUUCCCAGCUUCUCUCUCGCAUUUCAUCCACUUGAUUUUACUUCUGUCAGACAAAUAAAACAUGUCAUUUUAUGUCAUUUAUCAUAAUUUAUUUUAGGCACUUAUUAGUUCAUUUAUUUAUAAUAUUUUAGUUGAAUGAUAUAAUUGUACAUCUUUCUCAUUUUUACUUGAACAAAAUCAGUUUAUUAUCUUUAUUUUCUCAAAACAGAACUGUAAUUUGACUUAGUGUUGGCACGGGUCUGUUUUUCCCUAAUUCGGGGUGGUUCCUCCCAUAGUGCUCCUGAACUGUAGUUCUCUAGUUCAUUAUAUUCUGCUUAGACUAAAAUAAAGCACAGUCCUGUAGAAGAUUGA